UCCCCGGUAGCUCAACUGGUAGAGCAUUCGGCUGUUAACCGAAGGGUCGUAAGUUCGAAUCUUACCCGGGGAG
rnacentral:tRNA from 1 species